AUUCUUUGUUAGUUCAUAAGCGUGAUGAUUGAGUUUUCAUGCACAUGCGUGAGAUGUGUCUCUCACAAAUCUUGUUUCGAUGUCAGCACAUUUCGAUGUCAGCACAACCUGGCUGACA
rnacentral:snoRNA from 1 species